UGUUUCUCCACUUCCUGUCCCUGAUGUCUUGGAGUGUCUGGUAGCCACUCCGUAGAGGGGGGGGUUAUGUCACAGUGUCUGGGUUGUGUUCCCUGGGUAACCACUAGAUGUCCUCCUUCCCCACGGUGUCUGUCACUUGAUGAACUACAUUACCCACGAUCCCUGUCUCAGUGCACUCAGCUGUCACUGAUUAGUAAUCAUUGCACACAGUCAAUUCCUCCUUAGCGUUUGUCAUGUCCCUGUGUAUUUUAUACCGGUCUGUCUUAGUAUGUGUCACGGAGUCCUUGUUUAUUCUCGUCCGUCUCGAGUCGUGUCUAGCCUGGUGUUCUUGUUUGUUUUGGAUAUUUUUGGUUUUGACCCCUGCCUGGACUGUUUAUUCUUUGGAUUGCCCCUAAAUAAAGACGUACUCGCAUUUGGAUCUCUCACUGUGUCUCCUUGUAUCCCGGACGUGACAAAAGGUCAACUGAAAGCACAGCUGCACGACCACCCACUGAUAUAGCACUAACACAUGGUGAGCAUUAUGCAUAUGAGUUUAAAACACCAUUGUGGGCAGCAUUGUGCUGAUGACAGUAAGUGCUGAUGGCACUUACUGUCAUCAGCAACCUCAGGCCCUGCAGAACAUUGUGGGCAGCUGGAGGAGAUCAUCCCCUCCAGGAACAAUUGGUACAUGAAUGCAAAGCUUAUUUGAAAGACACCCAUUUCUGCCGUUGAAGUAAUUAAAGGAUUUUGCUUAUUUUGCCUGUGGAUUGCAAGUUUUUUUUUUUUUUUUUUUUUUUUUUUUAAUGCUACAUUUCUUUUUGGCUUUGUGUUGCUUGUAGGUCAGCUAUGUUCUGGACAAGGGUAGGCCUUCCCAUGAAAUUAUUAUUAAGGAUGGUCCUACAUGUUUGACCAGGGAGAACCUGUUAUCUUUAGGUCUAAACAGGCAAAUGGACUCAAUGGUAGGAAAUAUCUGUCUGAGGCUUGUGAAGGAGGUAGUCAAGCUACAGGUAUGUAUACGUCUAUAUUUUAGUGGGACUAUAUUUUCUGUGUAGUUCAAUGAAGAAAGUAAGUCAGCUGUCUUUGUGUAGGGGAAAAAUAUGUUUAAUAUGGGCCUCUACAUCCCCCCCAACAUGGCUCCCACCCUUGAAUUGUGACCCUUUAGGCAGUCUUCCUGUAAGUACCUACCCAUUUGUACAGCAAUAAAUAAACUGAUUUGAAUUGACAACAUAACAUCCUUUCUUUAAGGUCAACUCCACAGAGAAAGAUGCACUUAUAUUCCCCCUGUGGACACAAGGGCAUUCACUGUAUGCACAGCGGGAACAAGGCUUUGGCCACAAGCCCUACCGAGACAUCUUGAGGUUACAACAGGAUGAUCUAUUUUGGCAGUCAUGUUCCCCUGACUUGCCCACAUUAUUGCACCUUCUUUUGGCAGUCACUUUCCCCUGACUUGUCAAGGCUGCUUAGGAAAACUCUGCAUAGUUAUAGUACCUCCUCACGUUCUGAGGAUGUAAGCAUUGUUGGAAUUUCAUGUUCAUCCACACACUGAUUGUUCUGCAUUGUUUGUGUUCCACAGCUGAAUUAUACUGUGUAUUUAAAUUGUAAAUAUUCCUCGUAACACUGUCUUGAUUUUUAUCAGGGCUGUUGCACAAAAGCUCAUUCCUAGGCCAUGGGAAGAACAGUCAGGCCUCGGUGUUGAAGUAAUGAUCAUUUACAGUACAAUGAAAAUAUACAAGAAAUACAUGUAUAAGGUUGACAGUCAUUGUAAAUUCUUCAUAAUGGGUGUUCUUUCUUCAAAUAGGGACUACCCCUACAACAUUUUGGGAUUGACUGUGGAGUAUUCAUGGUUAUGGUGAGUUGCCAAGCUCAUUUUCAGGAUGUUUACUGAUGUCUACACAACAUCCAUUGUGUCCACACCAUGUCCAUUAUGCCCAGGAGCACCUCAUUUUAAUUCAUCUUUGUGAACUUUUGCUCAUACACAGACAUGGCAAAAUAACAGACUUUCUGCUUUUACAGUAUGCCUGGUACAUAACUAUGGAGGCAGCAUUUGAUUUCACCAUUAUAAGUACUGUACAGUCUUGGUGUUAAAAAAAAAAAAAAAAGUUUGUUAAUUGUUUUGAUUUACCUUAUAACUGUUCUUAUGUUCAGUAUGACAUGCCAUAUUUGAGGAGCUGGUGGUGCAAGGUUUUGCUGGAGAACCUUGAGAUUGAGGGGUACGGUUUGUGAAAUGAAAAGUAGUACACUUAAUAGAUACUACUGUAGUAGUAGUGGAAGUAGAAGUGGGAAAGCAUGAUGAACAUAUUUGGUCAAUGUCAAUUACAGACAUGGUCGAAGAUUUGCACAUUUUACACAGGAAGGCAGGAAGAUGGGGGAAGGAAGUCUGCCACCUGUCUUUCAUGUCCCUAGGAAAAGGAGACACAACACUUUGGUAACUACACUCCCAGCAAAGAUCGCAAGGGUUUCACAGGAUGGUGCAGUGACCACUGACAUUUUGCAGGCAUGUGUUAAUAAUCACUUUAAUGUUGAUGAAAAUGGCUUGACUUGACUGUAUAUUACUUGUAAAUCAUGUUUCAUAUACAGUUGGCAGAUGACAUUCUCCAGAGUAUCCUUGUCUUCGUAGUUCUAGAAGAUGGCUGCUCUGCAAUCCUCAGGCUGGCUCUGACAUGCCAGAGAUUUAACAGCAUUGUCAGCCAAGAGCAUUUUCAACAGGAGGCACACUUCAGCUGGCUUGAUAGUGAGUUCAAUAAUUGCCCCCUCUUGUUUUUUGUGGGUAAUCUCACUCUCUUUCCUAACAUGAAACUUUUGACAGUUAAAGAUGUUCAUUUAUUGUCUGAAUUGUGUGACUUAAUGUGCUGUCAUAAUUGUGUUUUGAUACUAAACAGGUGUAGUGAAUUGUAAAAGAUAUUCAAAGAGACACUAUCAAAUGUACAGAAAGCCAAACUCUCUAGGUGCAGUCACCUACAGUGCAGCCAGCUUAGUUUAUUAUUAUUAUUAUUAAUGCCAAGGUAAAAGUACCAAAGAUAAAAAUGCAGAAAUUAUAAGCAUUACGUACAAAAAGGGAGACAUUAUAUGCAAAGCACAGUUUAUACAUGUGUAUAUAACAAUUAAUAAAUAAUACAAAUCACAAGCUUUAACAAAAUAAAUGAAAAAGAAUAGCUGUUUUAAAAGUUUGCCCAGACCAACAUGGUGGACGCGUCGCUAGUGGAGGUGAUGUAUUUCCGCUCUUGAGUGGAGCUCCACUCACCCAAUGGCCUGUCCCAAAUGGCACACUCCGGACUUGCAGACUUCCUCAGAGUCCAUACUUCGGUGACGUCAUGUAGU